rnacentral:rRNA from 1 species
UACGGAGGGUGCAAGCGUUAUCCGGAUUCACUGGGUUUAAAGGGUGCGUAGGCGGGUUGGUAAGUCCGUGGUGAAAUCCCCAAGCUUAACUUGGGAACUGCCGUGGAUACUAUCAAUCUUGAAUAUCGUGGAGGUAAGCGGAAUAUGUCAUGUAGCGGUGAAAAUGCUUUAGAUAUGACAUAGAACACCAAUUGCGUAGGCAGCUUACUACACGAUCAUUGACGCUGAGGCACGAAAAGCGUGGGGGGAGCAAAACAGG